rnacentral:snRNA from 1 species
AUGCUCACUUCUUUAGCACAUAUACGGAAAUCAUAACCAGACAAAGAAGGUCAGAGUGGCCCCAACUCAAGGAUGGCCUGCAAAUUUGGGAAGCAUUCCAUAGUUCA